rnacentral:rRNA from 1 species
CCUACGGGUGGCAGCAGUGAGGAAUAUUGGUCAAUGGGCGGAAGCCUGAACCAGCCAAGUCGCGUGAGGGAAUAAGGCCCUACGGGUCGUAAACCUCUUUUGCCGGGGAGCAAGGGCGGGGACGUGUCCCGUCCCGGAGUGUACCCGGAGAAAAAGCAUCGGCUAACUCCGUGCCAGCAGCCGCGGUAAGACGGAGGAUGCGAGUGUUAUCCGGAUUUAUUGGGUUUAAAGGGUGCGUAGGCGGGCUUUUAAGUCAGCGGUAAAAAUUCGGGGCUCAACCCCGUCCGGCCGUUGAAACUGGGGGCCUUGAGUGGGCGAGAAGAAGGCGGAAUGCGUGGUGUAGCGGUGAAAUGCAUAGAUAUCACGCAGAACCCCGAUUGCGAAGGCAGCCUUCCGGCGCCCUACUGACGCUGAGGCACGAAAGUGCGGGGAUCGAACAGGAUUAGAUACCCCUGUAGUC